AUGAACGCUAGCGGCAGGGCUUAAUACAUGCAAGUCGUGGGGCAGCAUGAGUAGCAAUACUUGAUGGCGACCGGCAAACGGGUGAGGAACACGUACACAACCUUCCUUCAAGCGGGGAAUAGCCCAGAGAAAUUUGGAUUAAUACCCCAUAAUAUAUUUGAUAAGGCAUCUUAUUAAUAUUAAAGCUUCGGCACUUGAUGAUGGGUGUGCGGCUGAUUAGAUAGUUGGCGGGGUAACGGCCCACCAAGUCUACGAUCAGUAGCUGAUGUGAGAGCAUGAUCAGCCACACGGGCACUGAGACACGGGCCCGACUCCUACGGGAGGCAGCAGUAAGGAAUAUUGGACAAUGGACGAAAGUCUGAUCCAGCCAUGCCGCGUGAAGGAUUAAGGUCCUCUGGAUUGUAAACUUCUUUUAUAUGGGACGAAAAAAGGGCAUUCUUGUUCACUUGACGGUACCAUAUGAAUAAGCACCGGCUAACUCCGUG
rnacentral:rRNA from 1 species